UACGUAGGUGGCAAGCGUUGUCCGGAUUUACUGGGCGUAAGAGCGCGCAGGCGGUCGUUCCAGUCGCGUGUGAAAGCCCCCGGCUCAACUGGGGAGGGUCACGCGAUACUGAUCGACUCGAAGGCAGGAGAGGGAAGUGGAAUUCCCGGUGUAGUGGUGAAAUGCGUAGAUAUCGGGAGGAACACCAGUGGCGAAGGCGACUUCCUGGCCUGUUCUUGACGCUGAGGCGCGAAAGCUAGGGGAGCAAACGGG
rnacentral:rRNA from 1 species